rnacentral:rRNA from 1 species
AGAGUUUGAUCAUGGCUCAGAGUGAACGCUGGCGGCGUGGAUUAGGCAUGCAAGUCGAGCGAUCCCGCAAGGGAUAGCGGCAAACGGGUGAGUAAUACGUGAGUAAUUUACCCAUGAGUUUGAGAUAGCUUCGCGAAAGCGGAGGUAAUAUCGAAUAAGACCACGGAUCGUAGGAUUUGUGGUAAAAGAUAUUCGCAAGAAUGUUGCUUAUGGAUGAGCUCACGUCCUAUCAGCUAGUUGGUGGGGUAAUGGCCCACCAAGGCUAAUACGGGUAGCUGGUCUGAGAGGAUGGUCAGCCACACUGGGACUGAGACACUGCCCAGACUCCUACGGGAGGCUGCAGUCGAGAAUCUUUAGCAAUGGACGAAAGUCUGACUAUGCGACGCCGCGUGAGGGAUGAAAUCCUUCGGGAUGUAAACCUCUUUCGAUCGGGAAGAAAGGCCUCGUUGAGAGGAGCUGACGGUACCGAGAGAAGAAGCCACGGCUAACUCCGUGCCAGCAGCCGCGGUAAUACGGGGGUGGCAAGCGUUACUCGGAUUUAUUGGGUGUAAAGGGCAGGUAGGCGUUCCAAAAAGUUUCAGGUGAAAUCCUUGGGCUCAACUCAAGAACUGCCUGAAAGACUGUUGGAAUUGAGUGUGAAAGAGGAGAACGGAAUUCCCGGUGUAAGGGUGAAAUCUGUAGAUAUCGGGAGGAACACCAGUGGUGAAAACGGUUCUCUGGUUCAUAACUGACGCUGAACUGCGAAAGCUAGGGUAGCAAACAGAAUUAGAUACUCUGGUAGUCCUAGCCGUAAACGAUGAGCACUAGGUGUUGGCCCGCAAGGGUCGGUGCCGUAAGAUAACUCGUUAAGUGCUCCACCUGGGGACUACGGCCGCAAGGUUAAAACUCAAAGGAAUUGACGG